UUUCAGGGUUCCCAAAUGUGGUUUGGUGCAUUGAUGGAACUCACAUUCCUAUUAAAGCUCCUUCAGUCAAUGAAGGAGGCUAUGCUAAUGGAAAGUCAAUGCAUAGAAUCAAUGUGCAGGUAACAAUAUGCUACAGUUGUUCUUUUUUAUCAAACUUUAAAUCAUACUGAUUACUGUUCCCCACUAUCUAGGUAAUAUUUGAUGCCACCCACCUCAUCACAAACAUUGAAGCCAAAGGGCCAGGAUCUGUUCAUGAUGCCAGAAUUUUUAGGGAGUCAUUGCGCCCUGAAUUUCACUAGGGACAUUUCCAUGUUUACUUGCUGGGAGACGGGGGGUAUCCUUGUCUGCCAUAUCUGAUGACCCUUAAACUUGAACCUCAGCCUGGACCACAGACAAUUCAACCUGGCCCACAAGAGAACCCGGGUCAGGGUGGAGAUGACUACAGGCAUCCUGAAGGCAAGAUUUCAGUGCCUAUGUGGGCUCAGGGACAGGCCAGAGAGAGCAUGUGGCAUUACAGCUGCAUGUGUUGUUCUUCACCACAUCGCCACCAUGAGAGGUGAGAGGGCCCCCCCAUGUCCUGAUGAAGACGGUCCAGUGGACGCCCCAUUGGAUCCUGCCGAUCAAAGAGAUGGCAGGGUGGAACGGGACAUGAUUUGCCAAAAUUAUGUAUAAUAAAAUCAGUCAGUCAAGAGUCAAA